GACGAACGCUGGCGGCGUGCCUAAUACAUGCAAGUUGAGCGCUGAAGGUUGGUACUUGUGCCAACUGGAUGAGCAGCGCACGGGUGAGUAACGCGUGUGGAAUCUGCCUUUGAGCGGGGGACAACAUUUGGAAACGAAUGCUAAUACCGCAUAAAAACUUUAAACACAAGUUUUAAGUUUGAAAGAUGCCAUUGCAUCACUCAAAGAUGAUCCCGCGUUGUAUUAGCUAGUUGGUGAGGUAAAGGCUCACCAAGGCGAUGAUACAUAGCCGACCUGAGAGGGUGAGUGGCCACAUUGGGACGGAGACCCGGCCCAAACGGCCACGGGAGGGAGCAGGAGGGAAACGUCGGGAAGGGGUGAAAGUCUGAGCGAGAAACGCCGCGGGAGGGAAGAAGGUUGUCGGGUCGUAAAACUCGGUUGGUAGAGAAGAACGUUGGUGAGAGUGGAAAGCUCAGCAAGUGACGGUAACUACCCAGAAAGGGACGGCUAACUACGUG
rnacentral:rRNA from 1 species